AUGCAAAAUAUUAUAGGAAUAUCUACUUACUUUAACCACUUUUCAUAUUUGGUAUUUAAUCCAUCUACAUGUACAAACACGAAAUGCAGAUAUUGUUUUGUUGUGGAGAAAUUUUAUGAUGUGCCCAAUUAUGGACCGUACAUUGAUAAUGAUCUAAUGGUUAGGAUGAUGCAUCAUUUGAUAAUUCAAGAAAAGGUCAUGUCUUUACAGAAAUGUUCAAUUCCCCCUCAGUUUGAACUUGUAAGGUGUACUAAUUUUUUAAGAAUUCAAACUUACCUAAUUUUGACCAAGUUUAUAGAAUAA
rnacentral:rRNA from 1 species